GAUGAACGCUGGCGGCGUGCCUAAUACAUGCAAGUCGAGCGAACGGACGAGAAGCUUGCUUCUCUGCUGUUAGCGGCGGACGGGUGAGUAACACGUGGAUAACCUACCUAUAAGACUGGGAUAACUUCGGGAAACCGGUGCUAAUACCGGAUAAUAUUUUGAACCGCAUGGAUCAAAAGUGAAAGACGGUUUUGCUGUCACUUAUAGAUGGAUUCGCGCUGCAUUAGCUAGUUGGUAAGGUAACGGCUUACCAAGGCAACGAUGCAUAGCCGACCUGAGAGGGUGAUCAGCCACACUGGAACUGAGACACGGUCCAGACUCCUACGGGAGGCAGCAGUAGGGAAUCUUCCACAAAGGGCGAAAGCCUGACGGAGCAACGCCGCGUGAGUGAUGAAGGUCUUCGGAUCGUAAAACUCUGUUAUUAGGGAAGAACAUAUGUGUAAGUAACUGUGCACAUCUUGACGGUACCUAAUCAGAAAGCCACGGCUAACUACGUG
rnacentral:rRNA from 1 species